AUGGGUUUGGUUCCUUCCUUGCUACAGGCGGUGUUGUGCGCGGCGGUGGCGCUGGCGCUGUGCGCGGGCAGCAUUGACAUGUCGCCUGCGGCGAGGGGCGCGGGGUGCCGAAAGCACGUGCGGAGGGUCAUGGAGUACCGGGCGGUGGGGGACGGCAAGACGCUCAACAUGGCGGCGUUCGCCAGGGCGGUGGCGGACCUAGGCAGGCGCGCGGGCCACCGCGGCGUGGCGCUAGUGGUGCCGGCGGGGCGGUGGCUCACGGGGCCCUUCAACCUCACCAUCCACUUCACUCUCUUCCUCCACCGCGGCGCCGAGAUCCUCGCAUCCCAGGUGCGCCCCUCUUCUUCAGUUACCCGUGGGAUUAAUUAG
rnacentral:rRNA from 1 species